rnacentral:rRNA from 1 species
GAUGAACGCUGGCGGCGUGCCUAAUACAUGCAAGUCGAGCGAACGGACGAGAAGCUUGCUUCUCUGAUGUUAGCGGCGGACGGGUGAGUAACACGUGGAUAACCUACCUAUAAGACUGGGAUAACUUCGGGAAACCGGAGCUAAUACCGGAUAAUAUUUUGAACCGCAUGGUUCAAAAGUGAAAGACGGUCUUGCUGUCACUUAUAGAUGGAUCCGCGCUGCAUUAGCUAGUUGGUAAGGUAACGGCUUACCAAGGCAACGAUGCAUAGCCGACCUGAGAGGGUGAUCGGCCACACUGGAACUGAGACACGGUCCAGACUCCUACGGGAGGCAGCAGUAGGGAAUCUUCCGCAAUGGGCGAAAGCCUAACGGAGCAACGCCGCGUGAGUGAUGAAGGUCCUCGGAUCGUAAAACUCUGUUAUUAGGGAAGAACAUAUGUGUAAGUAACUGUGCACAUCUUGACGGUACCUAAUCAGAAAGCCACGGCUAACUACGUG